rnacentral:piRNA from 1 species
UCAAACAAAUGGAGCGCAGAUGCUGUUCUGU